rnacentral:rRNA from 1 species
AAUAUUGGUUAAUGUACGGAAGUCUGAACCAGCCAUGCCGCGUGCAGGAUGACUGCCCUAUGUGUUUUAAACUGCUUUUAUACGGGAACAAACCCCUAUACGUGUAUAGUGCUGCGUGUACUGUAGGAAUAAGGAUCUGCUAACUCCAUGCCAGCAGCCGCGGUACUACGGAGGCUCCGAGCGUUAUCCGGAAUUAUUGGGUUUAACGGGUGCGUAGGCGGCUUCAUAAGUCAGGGGUGAAAUUCGGCAGCUCAACUGUCGGCGUGCCUUUGAUACUGUGGGGCUUGAAUUUGGUCGAAGGAGGCGGAAUGGGACAAGUAGCGGUGAAAUGCAUAGAUAUGUCCCGGAACCCCAAUUGCGAAGGCAGCUUUCUAGGCCAACAUUGACGCUGAUGCACGAAAGCGUGGGGAUCGAACAG